UUCCCUUUCCAGGGCCCUGAUCUCAUGACGAGGACAUAAUUCUUUCAUCAUCAGAGCUCGAAGCUCUUCCCAUGUUUGAGCUAGUGCCACAUCGGCACCCCUAUCUCUCAUUACACCAUUCCACCAUGUUAGAGCCCGCUUUUCAAAGACACUAGAUGCGAAAUCUACCUUUCGCUCGUUUGGGCAUUGAACAUGCCUGAAGGUGCUCUCUAGACUCUCGAACCAUUGCAGAAGUGCAGUCGCUCCUUGAGAUCCAGAAAACUUUGAUGGCUUAGCUGAGUUGAACGUCUUGAAGUUGCAAGGGGCAUUAUUGUUGUUGAGAGCUUGGUUGCAUUGAGCAACGAUGUUCGGGAUUGCAGCAGUAUCUGAUUGUUGCGUCGUGGAGGCAUUCUAAAAGGGAAACAAGAGAGAGAAACAAGUGAAAUGGCAUUGGGUAAGAAUAGGAAAUUACCGACCAAAAGCAUGGGUGAUGGUCAUUUGUUUGAACCACGAAGCAAACAAACGACACACAAAGGCUGAAUCAAAGUAAAUAGGUCCCCAUAAUGUAUCGCGAAGACAUGCUCGCCUAUAAGUGGACACUCACCCCAAGAGUUCCCAGAUAAGAGUGACUGGUCCGAUACUGCGGAUUUGUACGAACACUCUAGCCUUAGACAGAAAACUCAGGGUACAGGCACCCACCCUUCCAGUUUGCACGUGUUCACAUUAUUUAGACCCAAACUUUGACGGAAUUUUGAAAACUUAAAGGGUUCGAAACCUUAUAACUAAGGGUUCAAAACCUAGUAAUCAAUCAUCCUAGAACAGAAGAUUAGUUUUCAAAGCAGAUCAAAUUUAUGUUCUUGUUGUGGUUGUCACCUAAGGAUAAGUGACGGUAUUGUUUUAAAAUCUAAACACAAGAAUCUUGUGUUAGGGUCCUAGGAAGGUUAUAGUCUAGGUCAAAGCAUUACUAAUAACCUAAUUCUCUAUAACCAUUGGCUCUGAUACCAACUUUUCUGUCACACCCCGACCACGUAAAACAACAAAACGUGGCGGAAACGUCGGGGAGUGUUGUAAUAGAAUCAUUGUUUCACAACCAUGGAUUAAACAAAUUUCGUUUUAUUGAAUUAAAUGAGUUACAAUGUCU
rnacentral:lncRNA from 1 species